ACAAAUAACUUUGAUGCAAAAGAAACACAAAUAAUGAUAUAGAUAGAAAAGAGAAUAUAUAUAUAUAUAUAUAUAUAUAUAUAUAUAUAUAUAUAUAUAUAUUUCUUACAAUGGGGGUAAUUAGGAAGUCUUGGAUCAAUAAUAACAAAGUUCUUCUCGGUACAUUCGAGUGUGAUAGCAAGAUCAAGAACCUUCCUCUUUUUCCUCUUUCGUGUAAUUUUGUCAUCAAAACUAUCAGACAUCUCAUCUUAUCGAAUAUCCAUGAUAUCACCAUGAAUGUAUCUUCAUCUUGUUGGCGCUAUAGAUGAAAGCUCACUGAGGAAAAAAAAGGAAAAAAAUACUACAAAAUCGAGGACAAAUUAACCAUAAACCUAAUGGUUUUCAAUCCCCAAACUCAUGAAAUGAAAAGAAAAAAUAGAUUGCCAUUCAAUCAUAAAUCUAGGGCUUUCUCAAGAGCAAAUUGGGAAAAAAAUUGAAAAGUUAAAAGGGAAGAAGAGAAAAUACCAAAAAAUGAACAAAAUCAAAGCAAACUUGGAUUUUUCUGUAAGAAGAUGAAAGGCAAACUCAAAAGUUGAAAAACUUUAAAAUAGACUAAAAAUCAUAAACCUAAAUAAGAAAUAAAAACAAAAAUGAAGAUGAAAGAAAAAUUAAGCUUCUAGUGCAUCAUCGUCAUAGCUUGAUGCAUUGAAAGAUCAUGGAAAAUGAGACGAAGAUGUAAAAAUGAAAAGGAGAUGAAAACAUUUCAAACUUUAGCCAUGGCAGCGUGGAAGCUUACAGCGAUAAACAAAAAGGAAAAGUGAAAGGUGGAAAUGGAAGGAUGAAUUGAUGUGAAUUACGGGAAAUAGUUCACUUCUAAAAAAAAAGAGGAAAAUGAAAUUCAAAGUGAAAAUGAAAGGAGGAAUUUUGAGAGCUUUAAAACUCCUUUUAAUUAACAAUUAAUUUUGUUUGGGUCAAUGAAAGAGUACUAUUUAG
rnacentral:lncRNA from 1 species